rnacentral:rRNA from 1 species
GACGAACGCUGGCGGCGUGCUUAACACAUGCAAGUCGAACGUAAAGGCCCUGCUUUUGUGGGGUGCUCGAGUGGCGAACGGGUGAGUAACACGUUAGUAACCUGCCCUUGACUUUGGGAUAACUUCAGGAAACUGGGGCUAAUACCUGAUAGGAGCUCCUGCUGCAUGGUGGGGGUUGGAAAGUUUCGGCGGUUUGGGAUGGACUCGCGGCUUAUCAGCUUGUUGGUGGGGUAGUGGCUUACCAAGGCUUUGACGGGUAGCCGGCCUGAGAGGGUGACCGGCCACAUUGGGACUGAGAUACGGCCCAGACUCCUACGGGAGGCAGCAGUGGGGAAUAUUGCAAAAGGGGCGGAAGCCUGAUGCAGCAACGCCGCGUGCGGGAUGACGGCCUUCGGGUUGUAAACCGCUUUCGCCUGUGACGAAGCGUGAGUGACGGUAAUGGGUAAAGAAGCACCGGCUAACUACGUG